rnacentral:rRNA from 1 species
UACGUGAGGGGCGAGCGUUGUCCGGAUUUACUGGGCGUAAAGAGCGCGCAGGCGGUCGGAUAAGUCGAAUGUGAAAGCCCCCGGGCUCAACUUGGGGAGGGUCAUUCGAUACUGUUCGACUCGAAGGCAGGAGAGGGAAGUGGAAUUCCCGGUGUAGUGGUGAAAUGCGCAGAUAUCAGGAGGAACACCGAUGGCGAAGGCAGGUCUCUGGGCCAUAACUGACGCUGAGAAGCGAAAAGCAUGGGGGAGCGAAACAGG